CGGAACGUAUCCUCUUGUGGGGGAUAACCCACCGAAAGGUGGGCUAAUACCGCAUAAGCUCUGAGGAGGAAAGCGGGGGACCGAAAGGCCUCGCGCUGGAGGAGCGGCCGAUGUCCGAUUAGCUAGUUGGUGAGGUAAAGGCUCACCAAGGCGACGAUCGGUAGCUGGUCUGAGAGGAUGAUCAGCCACACUGGGACUGAGACACGGCCCAGACUCCUACGGGAGGCAGCAGUGGGGAAUUUUGGACAAUGGGGGCAACCCUGAUCCAGCCAUGCCGCGUGAGUGAAGAAGGCCUUCGGGUUGUAAAGCUCUUUCAGACGGAACGAAAUUGCCUGGACCAAUACUCUGGGUAGAUGACGGUACCGUAAGAAGAAGCACCGGCUAACUACGUG
rnacentral:rRNA from 1 species